rnacentral:rRNA from 1 species
UGGGAACCUUCCCUAUGGUUCGGAAUAGCUCAGGGAAACUUGGGGUAAUACCGGAUAAGCCCUUCGGGGGAAAGAUUUAUCGCCAUUGGAUGGGCCCGCGUCGGAUUAGCUAGUUGGUGAGGUAACGGCUCACCAAGGCGACGAUCCGUAGCUGGUCUGAGAGGAUGAUCAGCCACAUUGGGACUGAGACACGGCCCAGACUCCUACGGGAGCAG